CUACUUCUUGCCACUGCUUGCGGACUCCAAGGAUAACUGGUUCUAUUCCGUCCCCUUGUCGGGAGUUACAAAGGACCUAGAAGUUGAGUGCUGCUUUGGGAAGAGGCAAUGUUACAGUAGCACUGGAGGCCACUAAGCCUCCAUCCAUGUCAUUGGUCCAGUCCAGAGGAAGAUUCCAACAGGACUGCUCCCAUUGGGAUC